UGGAAGUAAAAGUCGUAACAAGGUCUCCGUUGGUGAACCAGCGGAGGGAUCAUUACCGAGUUUACAACUCCCAAACCCAAUGUGAACGUUACCAAACUGUUGCCUCGGCGGGAUCUCUGCCCCGGGUGCGUCGCAGCCCCGGACCAAGGCGCCCGCCGGAGGACCAACCUAAAACUCUUAUUGUAUACCCCCUCGCGGGUUUUUUUAUAAUCUGAGCCUUCUCGGCGCCUCUCGUAGGCGUUUCGAAAAUGAAUCAAAACUUUCAACAACGGAUCUCUUGGUUCUGGCAUCGAUGAAGAACGCAGCGAAAUGCGAUAAGUAAUGUGAAUUGCAGAAUUCAGUGAAUCAUCGAAUCUUUGAACGCACAUUGCGCCCGCCAGUAUUCUGGCGGGCAUGCCUGUCCGAGCGUCAUUUCAACCCUCGAACCCCUCCGGGGGGUCGGCGUUGGGGAUCGGCCCUCCCUUAGCGGGUGGCCGUCUCCGAAAUACAGUGGCGGUCUCGCCGCAGCCUCUCCUGCGCAGUAGUUUGCACACUCGCAUCGGGAGCGCGGCGCGUCCACAGCCGUUAAACACCCAACUUCUGAAAUGUUGACCUCGGAUCAGGUAGGAAUACCCGCUGAACUUAAGCAUAUCAAUAAGCGGAGG
rnacentral:rRNA from 7 species